rnacentral:rRNA from 1 species
AUAACCGCUGAAGGCAUCUAAGCGGGAAGCUCGUUCCAAGAUGAGGUAUCCCACCCUUUGUGGGUUAAGGCCCCCAGCUAGACCACUGGGUUGAUAGGCCAGAGGUGGAAGACCGGUAACGGUUGGAGCUGACUGGUACUAAUAGGCCGAGGACUUGUUAC